rnacentral:rRNA from 1 species
UACGUAGGGUGCAAGCGUUAAUCGGAAUACUGGGCGUAAAGCGUGCGCAGGCGGUUUGUAAGUCUGUCGUGAAAGCCCCCGGGCUUAACCUGGGAAUUGCGAUGGAGACUGCAAGGCUUGAAUCUGGCAGAGGGGGGUAGAAUUCCACGUGUAGCAGUGAAAUGCGUAGAGAUGUGGAGGAACACCGAUGGCGAAGGCAGCCCCUGGGUCAAGAUUGACGCUCAUGCACGAAAGCGUGGGGAGCAAACAG